AGAGUUUGAUCCUGGCUCAGGACGAACGCUGGCGGCGUGCUUAACACAUGCAAGUCAAGGGGGCCCGUAGCAAUACGGGCAACCGGCGAACGGGUGCGUAACACGUGAGCAACCUGCCGAUCUGCGGGGGAUAGCCGGCCCAACGGCCGGGUAAUACCGCAUACGUUCUCGAGAGGGAGUCCUCUUGGGAGGAAACCUUUAUUGGGCAGAUCGAGGGGCUCGCGGCCUAUCAGCUAGUUGGCGGGGUAAUGGCCCACCAAGGCACCGACGGGUAGCUGGUCUGAGAGGAUGGCCAGCCACAUUGGGACUGAGAAACGGACCAGACUCCUACGGGAGGCAGCAGUGGGGAAUCUUGCGCAAUGGCCGAAAGGCUGACGCAGCGACGCCGCGUGUGGGAGGACGCCCUUCGGGGUGUAAACCACUGUUGCCCGGGACGAACACCCUCUUUCGAGAGGGCUGACGGUACCGGGUGAGGAAGCACCGGCUAACUCCGUGCCAGCAGCCGCGGUAAUAC
rnacentral:rRNA from 1 species